GACGAACGCUGGCGGCGUGCUUAACACAUGCAAGUCGAACGGAAAGGCCCUGCUUUUGUGGGGUGCUCGAGUGGCGAACGGGUGAGUAACACGUGAGUAACCUGCCCUUGACUUUGGGAUAACUUCAGGAAACUGGGGCUAAUACCGGAUAGGAGCUCCUGCUGCAUGGUGGGGGUUGGAUAGUUUCGGCGGUUGGGGAUGGACUCGCGGCUUAUCAGCUUGUUGGUGGGGUAGUGGCUUACCAAGGCUUUGACGGGUAGCCGGCCUGAGAGGGUGACCGGCCACAUUGGGACUGAGAUACGGCCCAGACUCCUACGGGAGGCAGCAGUGGGGAAUAUUGCACAAGGGGCGGAGGCCUGAUGCAGCAACGCCGCGUGCGGGAUGACGGCCUUCGGGUAGUAAACCGCUUUCGCCUGUGACGAAGCGUGAGUGACGGUAAUGGGUAAAGAAGCACCGGCUAACUACGUG
rnacentral:rRNA from 1 species